AGUGAACGCUGGCGGUAGGCCUAACACAUGCAAGUCGAACGGCAGCACAGUAAGAGCUUGCUCUUACGGGUGGCGAGUGGCGGACGGGUGAGGAAUACAUCGGAAUCUACUUUUUCGUGGGGGAUAACGUAGGGAAACUUACGCUAAUACCGCAUACGACCUACGGGUGAAAGCAGGGGAUCUUCGGACCUUGCGCGAUUGAAUGAGCCGAUGUCGGAUUAGCUAGUUGGCGGGGUAAAGGCCCACCAAGGCGACGAUCCGUAGCUGGUCUGAGAGGAUGAUCAGCCACAAUGGAGGUGAGACACGGUCCAGACUCCUACGGGAGGCAGCAGUGGGGAAUAUUGGACAAUGGGCGCAAGCCUGAUCCAGCCAUACCGCGUGGGUGAAGAAGGCCUUCGGGUUGUAAAGCCCUUUUGUUGGGAAAGAAAAGCAGCAGGUUAAUACCCCGCUGUUCUGACGGUACCCAAAGAAUAAGCACCGGCUAACUUCGUG
rnacentral:rRNA from 1 species